UACGGGGGGGGCAAGCGUUGUUCGGAAUUACUGGGCGUAAAGGGCUCGCAGGCGGCCAACUAAGUCAGACGUGAAAUCCCUCGGCUUAACCGGGGAACUGCGUCUGAUACUGGAUGGCUUGAGUUUGGGAGAGGGAUGCGGAAUUCCAGGUGUAGCGGUGAAAUGCGUAGAUAUCUGGAGGAACACCGGUGGCGAAGGCGGCAUCCUGGACCAACACUGACGCUGAGGAGCGAAAGCCAGGGGAGCAAACGGG
rnacentral:rRNA from 1 species